rnacentral:tRNA from 1 species
GCUUCUUUAGUAUAAAGGUUAUUAUGCCUCUCUUGUAAAGAGGAGAUAUAAGUUCGAUUCUUAUAAGAAGCUCA